rnacentral:rRNA from 1 species
GACGAACGCUGGCGGCGCGCUUAACACAUGCAAGUCGAGCGAGAACCGGGGCUUCGGCCCCGGGGACAGCGGCGAACGGGUGAGUGACACGUGAGUAACCUGCCCUCGGCACCGGAAUAGCCCGGGGAAACUCGGAUUAAUGCCGGAUAGCCCCUCUGCCCUGCGGGGCGGCGGGAAAAGGUAGCUUCGGCCUCUGGCCGAGGAUGGGCUCGCGGCGGAUUAGCUUGUUGGCGGGGUAACGGCCCACCAAGGCGACGAUCCGUAGCUGGUCUGGGGGGACGAUCAGCCACACUGGGACUGGGACACGGCCCAGACUCCUAGGGGAGGCAGCAGUGGGGAAUCUUGCGCAAUGGGCGAAAGCCUGACGCAGCGAGGCCGCGUGCGGGAAGAAGGCCUUCGGGUUGUAAACCGCUUUCAGGAGGGACGAAGCCACUCGGGUGAACAGCCCAGAGGGUGACGGUACCUCCAGAAGAAGCCCCGGCUAACUACGUGCCAGCCGCCGCAGUAAUAC